rnacentral:rRNA from 1 species
CAGUAGCCACGGUAAUACAGAGGAUGCAAGCGUUAUCCGGAAUGAUUGGGCGUAAAGCGUCUGUAGGUGGCUUUUCAAGUCCGCCGUCAAAUCCCAGGGCUCAACCCUGGACAGGCGGUGGAAACUACCAAGCUAGAGUACGGUAGGGGCAGAGGGAAUUUCCGGUGGAGCGGUGAAAUGCGUUGAGAUCGAAAAGAACACCAACGACGAAAGCACUCUGCUGGGUCGACACUGACACUGAGAGACGAAAGCUAGGGGAGCAAAUGGGAUUAGAGACCCCAGUAGUCCCUGUCUCUUAUAC